UUAGCCUCCUGAGUAGCUGGAAGUGUAGGCAUACACCACCACACUUGGCAAAUUCUUUCUUUCUUUUUUUUUUUUUUUGUAGAGACAGGGUCUUGCCAUGUAUCCUUCCCCUAAUUUACAGGAAGACACAGAUGUACAAAUAGAAGAAGCUCACUGAACUCCAAGUACAAUAAAAAUGGUUGAGAGGCAGAGUUUUGAAAGCAGCAAGAGAGGGAGAAAAGUGACUUGUCACAUACAGGUGAUCCUCAAUAAAAAAAUCAGUGGGUUUCUUAGUAGAAACCUUGCAGACCAAAAGACAAUGAGUUGAUAUAUUUAGAAUACUGAAAGAACACUAUCAAUCAAGAAUUUUAUAUUUGGUAAAACUCUUCAAAAAUGAGAAGUUAUGACAUUGCUAGACAAAUAAAGCCUGAGGGAGUUAAUCACUAGACCUACCCUUAAACAAAUGCUAAGGGUAAUUCUUCAUGUUGAAAUGAAAAGAUCCCAGACAGUCAAAGCCAUAUAAAAAUACAAAGUUUGCCCACAAAAGCAAAUACAUGAGCAAUUGUAAAACAAUAUCAUUAUAAUUUUAUUUGUAUCUUUACUCUGUUUCCUACAGGAUUUAAAGGCAAAUGGAGAAAUAAUAAUAAAAUCUAUGUUAAAGGAUAUACAACAUAAAAUGAUGUAAUUUUUGGCAUUUAUAACAGAGUGGGAGGAGCAUGAAUGUAAAGGGGUAGAGUUUUUGUAUGCAAUUGAAGUUUAAGUUGGUGUCAGUUUAAUAUAGAUUGUCAUAACUUUAGGUUGGCAUAAAAAAUACCCAUGGUAACAACAACAAAAAAAUUUAUAGAAUAUACACACAAGGAAAUGAGAAAUAAAAUGUGCUGCUACAAAAAAUCAGCUGAACAUGAAGGAGGAUAGUUAUGGGGAAAACAGAGGACACAAAAACUAUGACACAGAAAACAGAUAACAAAAUCCAAAGAUAUAUAUGUGCCCUGUCAGUCACUUACAUACAAGUAGAUUACAUUUUCCAAUCAAAAGACAUAGAUCACCAGAAAGGGUGUUUUUGGUUUUUUGUUUAAAUCAGGCUUCAAAAGGUUGACAAAUGUUUCUUUAGUGUGUAGCUCGUAAGCCCCAUGAAGCAACAGCUCCAUCUAGCCACCAGUAGGCAGAGGAAAGACUAUCAAUACCAUCCAUUUUCAAGAAGAUAUCCUGCUUCUGAUUUCGUGUUUGAUUUUUUUAUGUUGUAUAUUCAUAAUGAAUGAUUACUUUGAAGAUAAGCUUCUAAAACUAUCUUGAAAUCCUAUAUUUAUAUUCUUCAAAAUUAUUUAAGUAUUGGGCUAAGCACUGGGGCUCCCACCUGUAAUCCCAGCACUGUUGGAGGCCAACGCGGGAGGAUUGCUUGAACUCAAGAGUUCAAGACCAGCCUAGGCAACAUAGCAAAACCCUGUCUCUACAAAAAAAAAUCUAAAAAUUAGCCAGGUGUGGUGAUGCACAUUACUAACAUAUAUUAAACACUUAAUAUGCACUAAAUAUUUUUAUUUUAUUAUCAGAUUUAGACCCAGUAAUACUAUGAGUUGGAGACUGUCAUCCUCAUUUUAUAGAUGAGAAAAUUGAGAUACUGAGAAAUGAAAUAAUUUGCCCAAGAUCUCAAAGGUACAAAAUGAUAGAGUGGUUCCAGGUGUGUGCCGUAUUCAGUGAUGAAUAGGGAAGGAACCUGUUGAGAUGGACAGGCUAUUGUUUGGUAGGAGAUGUACUGUUAUGGAAACAGCCAGUUGAGUCAGCAUAGGCUCUGCUUAGGAGCCAUGUGGCAAGCAAUUGGCAAUGUCUAUCACUGUGUGAGUACUUGGAUUUGGAUUUGGAGAGGUACACCAAUGCCCCUGUUUUGGCUGGUGGCAUCCAGUAGAAUGAGGAAAGCCCCUUUGCUCAGGAGACUAGCUGUCACACCUACCGGUGGCACAUUCUGCCUAUCCCCACCAACUAUAGGAGUCAAGUUAUCUAUCCUGUCUCUUCUCCACAAGUGGCAGACGUAUAAAGUAUUCACAAAGAAUCUUACAGAGAACUUUGAAUAAAAAUACAUAUUAAACAAGAUAAACACAAACAUUUGAAAAAAGAAAUCAGCACUGUGAAAGAGAUGCACCCAAGUCAGCAAAACAAAGAUCCUACACUAGAGAAAGUAGGAAAGCAGUCUGUAAAGAUGGAAAUAAUAGCACCAGUCUUGGAGAUAAGAAGAUGAAAUGAAUUUUUGCAUGUAAAUAGCUUAGAACUGUGCUUGGAACAUAGUAAAUGCUCGAUAAAUAUUAGUAUAAACAAAGAGAACAAGGCUAUUUUACAUUGGCACAAUUAGAGAGGAUAUUGCAUUCAUGCAAAGAAAACAAUGAAAGAUUUUAGAAAUUAAAAAUAAAAUUGUCACAAUAAAAGACUCACUAGUUAGGAUAAAUAGCAUAGACACCAUGGAAGGCUUAAAUCUUUCAACAUUAAUACACACAACAAAUAAAAAUAAUGAGAACAUACAGAAUAUUUUAAUAACACAACUAUCAAGUUUAAUGAAUUACAUACUCUUUUUUCCAAAUACUUAUGGAAAUUUUGCAGAAAUUGAGCAUAUGCUCAAAUGUAGAAAUUUUAUUACUACAUUUUGGCAUAUACAAAAAUUAACUUUGUCAUGUGAAACAGUAUAUGGAGUGAACAAGAGAUUCUUCCCAGGGUAAAGAAUGAGAAAUUGGCUUUGAAAAGAUUAGAAACCCAUGAGCCAUGAGGUAAGUGAUUAGCAAUGUCUAAUCACCUUGAAAGGUUUGAAAAGAUUAGAAACAGAGCUCUGUCCCUAAAUAGACACUCCUUCAUGAAUGGAGUUGAUGAUGAAGUACUAUCUCUUAUUAGCUAUCAGUAUUAACUAGAUAGUUACAAUUUCUAAUAAAAUAUUAUUACAUUUAAAAUUUAUAUAUAUUGCAUUGCAGACAGUUCAGCUUUUCUCAGAUGUAGCACAGUAAUCUAGUUAGUACAGCAGUUCUUGGCACAGAAUAUAUAGCCUCUAACUAAAUAUAGGUAGUGAUAUAACCCCAAUGUCCAUUUAUAUAAGAAAAAAAUUAAGGGUUUAUAAUAUGUGUUUUCAAGAUGUAUUAAAACAGUUACUGUAAGCAAUUCCACUCCUAGAUAUAUAUUGAAGAGACUUCAAAAUAUUUGUCCACACAAAAAUUUAUAUUCAUAUGUUCAUAGCAACAUUAUUCAUAAUAGGUAAAACAUGGGAACAAUCCAAAUGUCCAUCAAGUGAUGACUAGAGAAACCAAAUGUCAUAUAUCUAUAAUAGUGAAAUAUUCAGCAAUAAAAAGGAAUGGCAUACCAUGGCACACUCACCGGGGUGGCUAUAAUUUUUUAGAGGUAGUGCUGAUGAGGAUGUGAAGAAAUGGAAAUCUUUACACAUUUUUAUACAUUGAUGUUGGAGACUU